rnacentral:tRNA from 1 species
GCGGGCACGUUAGAUCAAAGGCUUAGCCCCGCUUCCCAAGCUGAAUGUCGUCGGUUCGAUCCCGAUCGCCCGCUCCA